GCCUUGUUCUCUGGUGGAGGUGAACUUCAGUUGAACCUCCAGCCAUGAAGCUCCUUCACCUUGUCUUUGCAUUUCUCUGUCUGAUGAUGCUGGUUGUUCCAGGUGAGAAAGGAGGAAUAUGUGACCACGCCGCAUCACUGACAUCCUCUGCUGUGAAAUUCCGAUGGAUUAUAAAUUUGGAAAUCUUACGGGGCAGAGAGAUGUGAUUAACUGGUGCCUGAAUAAAAGGAAGUUGCAGUGUAAAUUUGUGCA
rnacentral:lncRNA from 1 species